GGGGUUGUAGCUCAGUGGUAGAGCACUUGCCCUGCAUGCAUGAGGUCCUGCGUUCAAUCCCCAAUACCCCA
rnacentral:tRNA from 1 species